AAGUCGUAACAAGGUUUCCGUAGGUGAACCUGCGGAAGGAUCAUUAAAGAAUAUCGAGCUUCACAGCUCUUAUUCUCACCCUUUGUAUAUCAAACUUUGUUGCUUUGGCAGCGCCUUUAGGGCCUGCCAGAGGACCAAACUCUGUAAUUUAAUGCCGUCUGAGUACUACGAAAAUAGUUAAAA
rnacentral:misc_RNA from 1 species